ACAUGGUUUUAAAUUCUUCAGUUUUUGGCUCUAGCUUAUCAAUACAGCAUACCUCUCUCAUAGAUAUUUUUAUGUUGUCUCAUUUGCUCUUUGUGGCAUCUUGUGGUAAACAAUGAAUAAAUUCAUGUUAGAACUUAUUUUGGAGUAAUAAUGGGAAAGGGGAUAAUACAUUUAUUACUAUUAUUGCCAUUGGAAUGAACAAUCCAGAAGAUGUAAGGUGAUAUUUAAAAAUACUAGUUUUCAAGAAAAGUAGACAAAUAUUUGAAUAGUUUUUUUUCACUGUAGGUGGCUAACAUUGCAUUCGCCUGGAUAAUGAUAGAGCAGUUGUUCUGAAUAAGCUUACACUUUGUUCAAAAUAAUAUAAUAUGCUUUAAUAAAGUCUUUUAGGAGAAUCUAUAUUGUUACUGCUACUGUAUUAUGGUGUGCUUCUGUUCAUUCUUAUUAUAGAUGCGGUAACUGAGGGUUAAAUGAUUUUACCCAGAGGGAGCCAUAGAGUGUUGAGUUUGUGACAUAUAGGUGGUAUUCAAUGACUAUUAAGUAUUAUUAUUGUCAUUAUUAUAAUAAGUAAUGUAACAUAUCCAGUGCUUGGCAAAGAUGGGCUACAAACCCCAGUCUGUCUGAUAUUCUGAGUCCAGUAGUGGCAUAAAAUAAUGCUGCACCCUAAUACUGUAUAGUGAAUAAGUAUAUGUAUAUUUAUUUUAUUAUGUAUGUUUGUAUAGAGUCAUUUAAUUUUCAGUUUUACAUUUUGUUUAUAAAAUUUUCUUGUUUCUGUUCAUAGAAAUUUUUUUUAAGUGUCUCUUUCUUACUCCCUGAUUUCAUGGAAUUAUGCAUUGUCAGAGAGGAAUGUGCCUUUCUAAAAAAUUGAAGUAUGGCUAUUUACAAUAUUAUAUUAGUUUCAGGUGUACAGCAUAGUUAGUCAAUAUUUUCAUACAAGAAUGUGCCUUUUCUGUUUUUAUUUUUAUUUUUUUAUGGCUGCACCCACAGCUUAUGGAGGCCUCUGGGACAGAGAUUGAGUCCAAGCUGCACCUGUGAUCUGCACUGCAGCUACAGCAACGUUGGAUCCUUUUACCCACUGUGCCAGUAUAGCCCAGCAUGGAGUGGUGGAAGGUGCUCUGGAUUAAAUCUCAGUAUAAUGAGAAGAGAGAAGACUCUGGAGACAAACUAUGUUUGAGACCUAGCUCUACCACUUCCUGGCUGUGUCGAGUUGGGUGAGUCUCAAACCUCUCUGAGCCUCUGUUUUCUCUUCUGAAAAAUGGGAUAAUAAUAGAACAUAUUGUGAGGAUUAAAUGAAAUAUUUUGUGUGAAAUUCUCCGCAAGGUGUCAGAACAUAAUAAGCUCUCAACGAAUGUUAGCUAUGGAGCAAAUAAAUCCUAGCUCUGUUAGAAUGUUGCUGAGGUAAUUGAAGAAAUUAACUUCUUCUCUCUGGAGUUCAGAUUUUUCAGAUGCAAAUAAGAUGAUUAAAAUGAAGACGCUUCCUGCUUGAAUAUUUUACGAUUUCAGCCUUGCCCUGUCCCCCAUCAGUAAUAAUCUCUCCCUCACUAACUUCUCGUAGCCCUGCAUUUGGGCAUCUGUUACAACGCAUCUUCCUCUCUUUGUUUAUAAUUAUUUUUAUGUGUGCCUACUUGAGAGCAUGUUUAUUCCAGUGACUUGCUCAUAGUGAAUGCUCAGCACAUGUUUUUUGAGUGGAUGGACAAAUACUAAUCUUUUUGGUCCUAUUGCUUUUCAUAGUGAAUAGUCUCAUAUGUUGUGCCUUUUUUAGCCUUUUUAUCAUGGAACAUUUGAAUAUAUACAUAAGAAGAAAGACUAACAAAACGGAUUGCCAUUGACCAGCCACCCAGCAACAUUAAUGACCCACUCAUGACUAAUCAUGUUUGAUCUAGUCCUCAUAAUCCUCCUCCUCCCUCCGGAUUUUUGGAAGCAAAUUUCAUACAUUAUAUAAAGUUACCUUUAAAAAUUUCAGAGUAUGUCUCUAAAAGAAAAGGGAUAUUUUUAGCAUAACUACUACGCCAUUUUCAUACCUAAAAAAUUAACAGUAAUUCCUUGAUAUCAUCAUAUAUUCAGUCAGUGUUCACAUUUCCCUGAUUUUCCUGCAUGUGUGUGUAAUUUAUUUAUUUAUUUAUAAUUUUUCUGCCUCAAGUCCCAAUGAGGUACAUUCAUUGCAUUUUGUUAGUCUCUCUUGAAUUGUCUGUUUCUCUCUUCAGUUUUGUUAGUUUUUUUCUUCAGGUAUCUUGAGGUUCUACUGAUACGUAUACACAUUUUUUAAAUUAUUAUAUGUUUUUCCUUGAUUGACUUAGAAAUUAUAAACUGUCCUUUAUGUCCAGUAACAGUUUUGGCCUUAAGGCCUACUUUGUCUGUUAUUAGUAUGACCAUUCCAGCUCUUGUUUGGUUACAGUUUGCUUAGCAUAUUUUUUCCAUUCUUUUUAUUUUCAGCUCAUUUGCAUUUUUGAAUCUGAAGUGUGUCUCUUAUAGACAGUGUAUAGUUGAAUCAUUUUAAGGAAUCUGUUUUGGAAUUCCCUGAUGGCCUGGAAGUUAAGGACUUAGUGUUGUCACUGCUGUGGUUUGGGUUAGAGGGUUACUGUUAUAGUUUAGGCUCAAUCCCUGGCCUGGGAACUACUGUAUGCUGCAGAAUGGCCAAAAAAAAAAAAAAAAAAAAAAAAAAA
rnacentral:lncRNA from 1 species